rnacentral:lncRNA from 1 species
UGACAGUUACUUUUUAUUAUCAAGAGCUUACUUGUAAUUAUAAAGUAUAGAGAAUAUACAUAUAUGCCAAUGAAUGAAGCAUGGGAACACUAAUAAAUUUAAAAAUUCAACAGGCUCCUCAAACAACUGGGCCCAAGACAGAAACUGCUCAGAGCAAGAUUUUCAAAUAGAUCUUUUUCUAGUGACUGAGAUAUUUAAGAAAAAUUGGCAUAAAGUAGAACCCGGAAUCUUCUGUUCACUUAUUUUUCUGGCUAUUACAUCAUCCCUGAAAAUAAACAAAUAAAUAAAGCAGGGGUCAGAGAAGGUAUAGUACUUUUUGGAUGCUGACUAUGGAUAAGGCUUUUUGCUUGUUUCCACAGCACUUCCUAUCCCUGCUUUCUGUAUCCUUGGAAAGAAAUGUGGAAUAAUGAAAAUAGCAAAAGGCUUGGCAGCCAGGCAGGCCCAGGUGUGAUCUCAGUCCCACCAUUCAUUCUCUGGGUGGCCCUGCAAGGCUGAUUGGAUGUUGAGGAACAAGUAUGUAAAGAGAAGUGUAUACAUAAAAACCAAAAAUCCCUGGGGCUUUGAAUCCUUCUAGAGCUCCUGGCCACCUUCUUCAGGACAGCAACUGACAGUGUUGUGAAGUGCUUGGCUUUGUCCUUCUCGCAGGCCAUCUGGGCUAAGUAGUGAGAUCCACGUGGCCAGGAAGGAAGGCAUGCAUCUCCCCAGGCCUGUGGCUCUCCUUGUAUUGACCUUGCUGCUUCCUGGGCUAAGCAGCUGCAGUGAGGGUGUGUUGCCCUGAAGCAGUUACGUCAUUCAUUAAUCCAAAUUCUGUUUUUUUUUUUUUUUCAAUUUAUUUUUUUGAGCCAGCAUUCUUUUGUGAAUAUCAAUUUCUACUGGGCAAUCAGGCCAUGUGGUCUCUCCUCUGGACUGGCCCCUACAGCCUUCCACACUCUGUGACACUCAGUGGCCACAGGCCCCUGGAAAAUUGGAUGUGUGACUGAGUCUUUAAGAGGUGGAGUGACUUACUUUAAUUCAGUAAGUCAAUAUGUUUUAAACUCAGAUUGUUUGUUCCACAAUAGGAAAAAGCUGUGAAAUUUCUUGUCUCAGCUCUGUCUACCACUACUUUGGAGGGGCUACAGGUAUCAGUGAGAUAAACCAAAGUCAGAUAUUCAAACUGGGGCAUAAAAUGUUCUGCAUGAGUGUCAAGAAUGGUUCUUUGGGUGUGGCGAAGGGUUCACACCUACAUUUAAUUUUCGAAAUGUGUUUCUUAAAAAUAUGCCAAAAAGAUACCUAGAAAAACACAUAUCACUGAUUGAAAUAUGUAAUGCAUUUAAAUAUACAUACAUAUGUAUAUACACACACACAUAUAUGUUUUCAUAAUCACACUAAUAUCUGCCCUGCUACACUGAUGGUCAAAUAUUUUGGGAGAGAACAUCUGGCAGCCUACCUCUAGUCAUCUUUUCCUCUAUAAAACUCUUCCAAUACCCUGUUCUAGCUAUGCUUAUGAAGGAUAAAGAUUUAAUAAAUCAUGUUGCUGCUUCAUCAAGGUCAUUCUUAAGUCAAAUUCUUUUUAUGUUUGUUUGUUUUCUGCCAGUCAUGAAGACGAAGAAUAAGAUGUCUACUAGUGCAAUUGCUGGUACUGCCAUUUGUCCUAAGGUGUCAGCAGUUUUGCCUAUCGUUGCUUCUGCACUAUCACUGCAAAUGUCAACACAGUGAAAAGGGAAAGUAUGAGAAUAGAUUUGGCCUCCCCCUGGAAGAGUCUCAGGGAGCUCAAAGUGUCCAUGAACAGUGCUUUGAGAACUGCUGUGUUAGUAUAUUAGUAUAAAGACAUCAUGGUAACACAUCUGGCUUCAGGACAGCAGACAUAGAAACAAGGAGAGAAUGAAGGGGAUCCAUUUUUUGAAAUACAAAGUUUCAUCAC